CGGAGGACCGAGUGCCGCU
rnacentral:siRNA from 1 species